UGAACGCUGGCGGCGUGCUAACACAUGCAAGUCGAACGAAGCACUUUAAAACAAGUCUUUCGGGUGCGUUUAUUGUGACUAGUGGCGGACGGGUGAGUAACGCGUGGGUAACCUGCCUCAUGCAGGGGGAUAACAGUUAGAAAUGACUGCUAAUACCGCAUAAGCGCACAGUACCGCAUGGUACAGUGUGAAAAGAUUAUCAGCAUGAGAUGGACCCGCGUCUGAUUAGCUAGUGGUGAGGUAACGGCUCACCAAGGCGACGAUCAGUAGCCGACUUGAGAGAGGUUGAUCGGCCACAUUGGGACUGAGACACGGCCCAGACUCCUACGGGAGGCAGCAGUGGGGAAUAUUGCACAAUGGGGGAAACCCUGAUGCAGCAACGCCGCGUGAGUGAUGACGGUCUUCGGAUUGUAAAGCUCUGUCUUUAGGGACGAUAAUGACGGUACCUAAGGAGGAAGCCACGGCUAACUACGUG
rnacentral:rRNA from 1 species